rnacentral:rRNA from 1 species
CAAUAAGCGGAGGAAAAGAAACUAACAAGGAUUCCCCUAGUAGCGGCGAGCGAAGCGGGAAGAGCUCAAAUUUAUAAUCUGGCACCUUCGGUGUCCGAGUUGUAAUCUCUAGAAAUGUUUUCCGCGUUGGACCGCACACAAGUCUGUUGGAAUACAGCGGCAUAGUGGUGAGACCCCCGUAUAUGGUGCGGACGCCCAGCGCUUUGUGAUACAUUUUCGAAGAGUCGAGUUGUUUGGGAAUGCAGCUCAAAUUGGGUGGUAAAUUCCAUCUAAAGCUAAAUAUUGGCGAGAGACCGAUAGCGAACAAGUACCGUGAGGGAAAGAUGAAAAGCACUUUGGAAAGAGAGUUAACAGUACGUGAAAUUGUUGGAAGGGAAACGCUUGAAGUCAGACUUGCUUGCCGAGCAAUCGGUUUGCAGGCCAGCAUCAGUUUUCCGGGAUGGAUAAUGGUAGAGAGAAGGUAGCAGUUUCGGCUGUGUUAUAGCUCUCUGCUGGAUACAUCUUGGGGGACUGAGGAACGCAGUGUGCCUUUGGCGGGGGUUUCGACCUCUUCACACUUAGGAUGCUUGGUGGAAUUGGCUUUAAACGACCGUCUUAAA